AGAGUUUGAUCAUGGCUCAGAAGGAACGCUAGCUAUAUGCUUAACACAUGUAAGUCGAACUUGUUUUCGGGGAGCUGGGCAGAAGGAAAAGAGGCUCCCAGCUAAAGGUAGCUUGUCUCGCCCAGGAGGUGAGAAGAGUUGAAAACAAAGUGGCGAACGGGUGCGUAACGCAUGGGAAUCUGCCGAACAGUUUGGGCCAAAUCCUGAAGAAAGCUAAAAAAUGCUGUUUGAUGAGCCUGUGUAGUAUUAGGUAGUUGGUCAGGUCAAGGCUGACCAAGCCAAUGAUGCUUAGCUGGUCUUUUCGGAUGAGCAGCCACACUAGGACUGAGACACGGCCCGGACUCCCACGGAGGGCAGCAGCGGGGAAUCUUGGACAAUAGGCUAAAGCCCGAUCCAGCAAUAUCAUGUGAGUGAAGAAGGGCAAUGCCGCUUGUAAAGCUCUUUCAUCGAGUGCGUGAUCAUGACUGACU
rnacentral:rRNA from 1 species